CUGUGUCCGCUCCUGAUCAGGCCUUCUGAAAUUAACCCCAAGUCAAUCUGUGCGCCACCGGUGUUGGAUCCAGAGAGAGGUCACUGUGGGACUCAGAAAUCAACUUGCUUUACAGAAUUGUUUUUGCGUGUUCAGUGAUCUCAUUCAGGGCCCAACACGGGCUGGGAUUUCUUUCUUUUUUUUACCCUUAAGUGACUGCAUUCGACUCUGCUCUGCUAUAUUUAGAUUCUGAAAUCUCUCCUGGAACGAUUAUACUAUUUCUUUUACUUCCAUUGUUGCUCUCCCAACUGUGUUCCAAGCCUUGACGUAUUCGAAUCGUUAUAAAUUUAAAAUCUCCCCCACAAACUGGGAAAGGGAACCCAAGUGAUGAUGUAAUCUCACUUUACAGAACAGCACUGUCCAAUACAAGCUCCUGUGAUGGAGGAAAAAUGUCUUUUGCCGGCACUGUUCAGUGUGGUGGCUACAUGUGGCUAUGAGCACUUGAAAUGCGACAGUCAACUUAAGGAACUGAAGUUUUCAUUUUAAUUCAUUCAAUUUGCAUAGCCAGAAGUGAAACCACAGGUUGGUCAGAGCCGUGUGAAAGGCUGUAUGCUGCAUGCAGAUCUUAAAUCGAAGGCAACUAAUGUUUCUUUAUUCCACUCAUUCUCCAAGUAUUUUCCAGCCUUAAUACAACUGAAAGAUGCAACUCAGUUCUAUCAGAGUGAUUUUAAAAACGUUUUAUUUUAUAUUGGAGUCUGUGGAUUAACAAUUUUGAUAGUCUCAGGUAGACCAGCAGAGGGACUCAGCAAUACAUAUACAUGUAUCCAUUCUCCCCCAAACUCCCUCCCAUCAGGCUGCCACAUAACAUUGAAUAGAGUUCCCUGUGCUAUACAGUAGGACUUUGUUGGUUAUCCAUUUUAAAUAUAGCAGUAUGAAUGUGUCAAUCCAAAGCCAGAGUGAUUUUUUAACUGAGGGCAGCAUCUUGGAGCUUGAACUCUAGUAGGGGUUUGAAAAAGUUCUCUGGGUGAAUCUGAUACCCAUCAUACCCACUUCAUCUGAGAAACACUGCUUUACAGAGAGGUACUCCAUGAAACUAACAAGUGCUUAUUCUUGAGUCAGAGUUGGCAAACAUUUUUUAUAAAGGUGUUCUUUUUUUUUUUUAAUGACCAGCCAAACUGUUUCUAAUAUUUUGGACUAACUCCCACUAAGAGAAAAACUUCUUUUGAAUAGAACACGGUUCUCCUUAUUUCUAGAAUAGAAUAGAAUAAAAAAUUUCCAUUUUUAUUCACUCAGUAGUUUGGUGAAAGGAAUAUCCAGGGGGAAUAAAAUAGAUGGAAAGUAUGAAUACAAUGUUGGUCAAGUCUCAGCUCAGCUGUUUUCUGCUGGGUGACCUUGGACCAGUUACUGAACCCUGACACCAGCCUAGGGUUUCUGCUCUGUGCAGUUGGAAUAAUAAAGCUCUUGGCUUCCAGGCACCUCCUUAGGUUAUUGUGAAAUGAGAUGAUCUAAGCAAUAGUGCUUCGGAGUGUUUGUGUGUAGUCAGUGUGCCUGAUGACUGUGUAGGGCUGGUCUUCCCUUGUGAAAACCAAUCCAGGGUGGGUUGAUUCUAGAAGGGUGAUGCCUACACUUCACUUGAUUUGCCUUAAAUCAC